UCCGAGUUGACCCCGGCAGUCUCCCAUGAGUCCCCGCCAUUACGCGCUGGCAACAUGGAACGAGGGUUGCGCUCGUUGCGGGACUUAACCCAACAUCUCACGACACGAGCUGACGACAGCCAUGCAGCACCUGUGUCCAGGUUCCCUUUCGGGCACCCCUCCAUCUCUGGAGGGUUCCUGGCAUGUCAAGGGUAGGUAAGGUUCUUCGCGUUGCGUCGAAUUAAACCACAUGCUCCACCGCUUGUGCGGGCCCCCGUCAAUUCCUUUGAGUUUCAGCCUUGCGGCCGUACUCCCCAGGCGGAACACUUAUCGCGUUAGCUGCGGCACGGAGGGAUUCGACUCCCCCCACACCUAGUGUUCAUCGUUUACGGCGUGGACUAC
rnacentral:misc_RNA from 1 species